GUGAGGAAUUUUCCGCAAUGGGCGAAAGCCUGACGGAGCAAUGCCGCGUGAAGGAUGAAGGCCUAUGGGUUGUAAACUUCUUUUCUCAGAAAAGAAUUAUGACGGUAUCUGAGGAAUAAGCAUCGGCUAACUCUGUGCCAGCAGCCGCGGUAAGACAGAGGAUGCAAGCGUUAUCCUGCAUGAUUGGGCUUUCAGCGUCUGUAGGUUGUUUAAAAAGUAUUCUGUCAAAGAUUAGGGCUUAACCCUAGAUAGGCAGAAUAAACUUUUAAGCUAGAGUUUGGUAGAGGCAGAGGGAAUUCCCGGUGGAGCGGUGAAAUGCGUAGAUAUCGGGAGGAACACCAAAGGCGAAGGCACUCUGCUGGGCCAAUACUAACACUGAGAGACGAAAGCGAGGGGAGCAAAUGGGAUUAGAAACCCCAGUAGUCC
rnacentral:rRNA from 1 species